ACAGCAUGGUGUGGACACUUUCACAAAAGGUCCUUCAAACUUUCCCAUGUUUCAUAGAAAGGCUCUCCCUCAAUUUGCGAAAACCCAGUGAUGGAUUUCCGAAUUU